GAUGAAGAACGCAGCGAAAUGCGAUAAGUAAUGUGAAUUGCAGAAUUCAGUGAAUCAUCGAAUCUUUGAACGCACAUUGCGCCCCCUGGUAUUCCGGGGGGCAUGCCUGUUCGAGCGUCAUUUCACCACUCAAGCCUCGCUUGGUAUUGGGCAACGCGGUCCGCCGCGUGCCUCAAGUCGACCGGCUGGGUCUUCUGUCCCCUAAGCGUUGUGGAAACUAUUCGCUAAAGGGUGUUCGGGAGGCUACGCCGUAAAACAACCCCAUUUCUAAGGUUGACCUCGGAUCAGGUAGGGAUACCCGCUGAACUUAAGCAUAUCAAUAAGCGGAGGA
rnacentral:misc_RNA from 1 species